AUGGACAGCAGCCGCUGGCCAGAGUGGCCAGAUAAAAGGGUCACUGCCCAGAGGCUGGGGAUCUCCCUCUGCAGUGUGUACAACAGACAGGUUUUUGUACAGCCGGUUAAUCAGACUGAAUCACUGUGGUGGACUUUCGGUGGCGGGACCAAACUGGAAGUCGGCAGUGACACAGUCCCCGCCCUCACAGUCCUGCCCCCCUCCCGGGAGGAGCUGAGUCAGCAGGGAAAGGCCACACUGGUGUGUCUGGCCAACCGGGGCUUCCCCUCGGACUGGGCCCUGCGCUGGAAGGUGGACGGUGCCGACGUCAGCUCGGGCGUGGCCGGGAGCGCGGGGGUCCUGGGGCAGGACGGCCUGUACAGCUGGAGCAGCUCCCUGACCCUCAGCGCGGACGCCUGGAAGAAGGCGGAGUCGCUGACCUGCGAGGCCACACAGGGGUCCCAGUCCACCCCCUCUCAGACGCUGAGGAGGGACCAGUGUUCUGAGUAGGCCUGGGGGGGGGCAGCUCACACCCUCU